rnacentral:snRNA from 1 species
UUACCACUCUGGCCUUUUGGCUUAGAUCAAGUGUAGUAUGUGAGUAAUAUCGGGUCUUCUAACUAUUAAGAAAUUAUUUUCUGACCUUGGCUGUUCUAGCUGUUCUUAAUAGUUUAACCACUAUUAUGAGGGCACCGCCCUCAUUUCUGGUUAUCUAAUUUUUGCCGCCUUGCCCUUCAGCUCUGCUUGCAACUGAGAGGCGUGAUGACCUCGCCGUUGCACUACUGGCCUGUGUCGUCAGGGGAU